CCUACGGGUGGCAGCAGUAGGGAAUAUUGCUCAAUGGGGGAAACCCUGAAGCAGCAACGCCGCGUGGAGGAGAAGGGUUUUCGGAUGUUAAACUCCUUUUGUUAGAGAAGAAAAUGACGGUAUCUAACGAAUAAGCACCGGCUAACUCCGUGCCAGCAGCCGCGGUAAUACGGAGGGUGCAAGCGUUACCCGGAAUCACUGGGCGUAAAGAGCGCGUAGGCGGGAUAUCAAGUCAGAUGUGAAAUGCUAUGGCUUAACCAUAGAACUGCAUUUGAAACUGUUAUUCUAGAGUAUGGGAGAGGUAGGUGGAAUUCUUGGUGUAGGGGUAAAAUCCUUAGAGAUCAAGAGGAAUACCGAUUGCGAAGGCGACCUGCUAGAACAUAACUGACGCUGAUGCGCGAAAGCGUGGGUAGCAAACAGGAUUAGAUACCCGGGUAGUC
rnacentral:rRNA from 1 species